GACCAGAAUCUAUGUCUCCCAAAGUCUAGUCUAGUGUUCCUCAUUAACUCUUUAAUAGUGAAAGACAUUCUGGAUCCUGAGACUGGACAAAAUGACAGAGGGGGGUAACUGAAGAAAAACAAGGAAACAAAGCUGAGAGAUGAGAAAUACAACAGGACAACAAAGUUCCGGUGGCAUCAAGCCCUCAAGGGCUUCAGAACUCCUGGAGGAAGGGGUGUCUUAUCUCUCACAAAGGACUGGAGACUCCUGCACAAGAGGGGCCUCAACUGCUUUUGUUUCACAACGUCCCCAUCCUUCCACAAAGACUCAAUGAUGGACUGACUAAAAAGCAUUCGGACCCAGGACACUUCUAUCUCUCCAGUACCCUCCUCCCAGAAGAGAGGAAGUACACAAGGAGACCUUGUCUUCUGUUGGAGAGAAGGGCCUUUCCCAAUGUCAUUUCUUCCUUGGGCAGAAGGCCUUCAAGUGGUCUAAACCAUAUCUUCAUUUGGAAAAUGGGAUUUAUAAUAAUAAUGAUCAUUAAUAAUAAUACCUGCCCUGCCCACCUGACAAGGAUAUUGAGAUGUUCGUAGCAGCACUUUGGAAAAUAAAAAGCAUUGUAUAUGUUCA
rnacentral:lncRNA from 1 species